rnacentral:rRNA from 1 species
CGGAAUUGCUAGUAAUGGCAGGUCAGCAUACUGCCGUGAAUACGUUCCCGGGCCUUGUACACACCGCCCGUCACACCAUGAGAGUUGGGAAUACCCGAAGCCUGUGAGCUAACGUAAGAGGCAGCAGUCGAAGGUAGAAUCAAUGAUUGGGGUGAAGUCGUAACAAGGUAUC